rnacentral:lncRNA from 1 species
GACUGUUAGAUAUAUGUGAUGACGUGAUUAGACUAUGUGCUGACUGUAAUAGACAGUACUAUGUGUUAUGAUAUAUUGUUCUAAUCGAACGAAUGAUCUGAUUAUUGAUAGGUUGUGAUAAAGAGAUAAAACCUAAGUUGAGAUUUGUAAUCAGCGAAUCAGGCAAGUAUCCUACCUUUGCAUUUUCUUUAUGCAAUGGACAUGAGUAAGAAGUUUCAGAAUUAUUCUAUUCCUGUACAGAUUAUGUACGCUUUGAUUAUCAACAUGUUAGCU